CCUCCCUACUGAGGAGCCGCUGCCACCCAGGGAAGGGUCCUCAUGAUGUUUAAUAGAAACCAGGCGUCAGAGCCGCAGCGGCAUAGCAGGGGUUAAGUGCAACUCUCUCCCCAGGAGGGGGCCGGGAAGGGCGGGGGUCGAGCCCCGAGCGCCCCGGCUGAAGGAGAAAAGGAGAAGGGUAAAAAUAACCGGCGGCCGCGACCCACGUGCAGCUGCGCGAGGCAGACCGGAGGGCAGGGCGCCUUGCGCGGGGAAGGGGACGUACCUCCAAACAUGUGCGGCGAGAGGGAGAAGAAGCCCUCGCCUACAUGCAGGGAUGAAAUGAGAUUGCUGCUCAAAACUACCAGCCUUUCUCUGAAGUGGUGUCACAUCCAGACAGAAAAAUAAAUGUGCUGUGCCCUCACGGAUGAUGAGACAUCAUCUUUCAGACAGACUUUUUGACACAGGGGGAUCAAGGUACACUGGAUAACACUCCCAAGGACCCUGUGAGGGAGACAAGGGAAGUGUUCUCAUUCUACAGAGGAGAAAGUGGGGUCUCAGAAAGAUGGGGACUUACUGAUGGCCACAGAAAUGCCCACUCUGGCCAUUUGCCUGACAGUGACAUUCUCCCUCAUCUUUCCAAGCCUGGAUAAAAUGCCGUAGCAUUUCUUGGUCCCUUCUGACCCUACUCCUUCCUACCACCACUGCAGAAGAAAUUGUUCAUUCAUUCAACCAGUGUCAGUAAAACACGAUUUGUGUGUCAUCAGAGGAAAAGUGACAAAAUGUCCACAUCGUCGUGGGUCCUGCAGUGAGGAGCUCAUGGUCUAUCUGGAAUAUAGAAUGUCUAACUUUCCAGGUCCCUCAGGGAGCCCAGAAAUGGUCCACCUCUGUCCUGACCAAGUUCUAAAACUUGCUGAGAAAUAAAUCAGAGGAUCCAAUAGAUGGUGCCCAAAAUAUAUAUUUUAUAAUUGAAAAGGUGAAGUAGUGGGAAGGUCGAAUGGGCCUGCUAAGUGAAACCCCAGUGAGGAAGCUCCUCCUUGCUGGCCAGCAGUGGGCAGGGGAGCCAAGAAGGCCAUUUCCUGCCAGGGGAUGUUCCUGAGAGGAAGAGGCAGUGGCUAAGCACAGCACAGCAGUGGUUGCCCCCGGAUUAUGGGGAUGUAGGUUGUCAUGUCAUGGCUACCAUAAUGCAACUUGUCCAGGCCGUGAGUAGAGUGGCUCAUUCUGUGGGCUCCAACUCAGAACCCUAAGAUAGAGGCACACCAACUCCCACAAGAGCAAGUGAGGUCCCUCUGUGCACUGCUGUGACUCUGUGAAUACCUUCUGUAUGCUGUCAGCGUCUCUGUCUGCUCACCUCCACAGGGCGAGACUCCUGAGGGCAAGGACCACUGCUCCAGCAGACCCGUGUAAGACUGGUGCAGGAUGCAUCUGUAGCACAGCGACCUAACCCAGGUCACCAGAAAACAGGGUCAGAGCCCACAGUUCUGCCUCCUGGCCUGGUGCUCUCUGUCC